rnacentral:ncRNA from 1 species
AUCAGAGGUGCUUAAAAGCCCCUCCGGAUCGCACUCCACUUACCGUACGAGGCGAUCUGCGUUGUGAAGCUCACAAGGCCGUUCAAUGAGAUUGCGACUGGAACGAAGUUGUCCUGAGGGACGGGGAAGCGUUUGACAGCAAAACCGAAGUAGAAACAUCAGGAAGUAUUGCUAGACGGCAACCACGAGCCAGACAGCAGCAGACCACAACGUCUGCACCCUGUAAGCCUAUCU